rnacentral:lncRNA from 1 species
UGUAUAUGCUGUAGUGCCACACGGAAGGAACCACCCUAAUGGUGGUAUAAGGUUCAUCUUGGAGAUCCUCCCGGGGCUUGCUCGAGCUGACAACCACYUGUUCACAGGAAUGAUGAGGCUCUCCAUCUUCAGAUGUGAAAGCUUUCUCUUUUCCUGGAUGCCAGGUCAAAGGCUCUGUCUCCUCCUUCUUUGUUGCCUG